CCGGAUUGGUUUUCUGCAAUCCCCUGGCAAGAUAGUUGUGAUGCCUGGCCCACAAUAGAUGCAUUGAGGAUUCGAGGAUAUGGGCAAGAGUUCACGUCCAUCAUCGGUUAGGUACAUGCGCAGGGUGCCAUUGGCAUAGCUUCGCAGUUGACUCUGGCGCUGCUCAAGAUUGCCAUAGACAACGGAGCCAUCGAGAAAAGCGGUGGCCUGAUUCAGUUGCAUUCUGGGACCGAAUCUGCCAGUGGGCGCCGGAGCCGAUCUGACAAAGUUCAUACAACUGAGAUUGUAUUGCUUGUAGUAGGGAUCGUCGGGCAGAAUUUCCACGGCAAAACAUUCCGGAUGCUGUUCACGUGUGCUCUCUACACAGCAGUCAAUCGAUUCGCCCUCCUGAGACGUGGUCAGCGAAGUGGCCGUUAUGUCAUGAUCCAUGAACUGGCCAAACACGGCCAGCAUUACAGUGAAAUUCGAAUCCGUCUCAUAACUUGAUCGAUGUAUAUUCAAGGAGACUUGACGGGCCGAAGGUAAACGACCAUAAUGGCUUGCCCUAGGACUGGCAAUGCCAUCCUCAUAAUCCGGCGACACCAUGCGACGAUAGGGGACCAUUGAAGCUCCGUAUGUGCGCGGAUGCUCCCUAUUAUUGCAUACGCCCGUUGGUCGUCUAUAACGAGAAUUGAAAUCGCAAUCGAGACGCAAGACAGUCGGAUCGGGCAGCACUAUACGUGGUCCCCAUCCGAUAUUGUCGCGUCCCGGAUUCUUGGUGUAAUUAAAUCUCUUGGCAAUAUCAAACGUAGCAUGAUUCUCCACAUAGCCGCGUCGGGCCAAUUUACGGGCCUCCGGAUUGGUGCUCAACGAACGAUAAUGACGAAAUGCUGGUGUGUUCACUGCACUCGGCCGAAGGCCUUCUUCAAAGAUUUCCCGAUCACCCAGUGCCUUGAUGCCAGCACUAACAGCCUGGGCGCCUUCUUGGCGACUCAAUGUCUCAGAUCUGGAUUUCAAGGCCCAUUCAGCCUCUGGCUCAUCGGGCAGCGGUUUCUUUGGAGUUGGCUCCAAUGUCUCGUUUGUGGUUACGAAAAAGAAACUAGGACUACCAUCUUCAUUGGCAUUGCCAAGGGAAUUACUGAAAGCCAACGCCAGGCACAAAGCGGCAAUAACUAUGACACUGUGUGGGUAACGGAUGGAGAGGGGGCAGGAAAGUGAAAUCGUUUUGUGGUUAAUCAGUUAACAAAACGUUUUGCAGGUAGACAAUAAUGAGGGGACACUUACACAAUGGUAAUGCCCAUGCAACAUUGCAACUGUUUGAUUUUACUACGACGUGAACGUGGUGAAACUCCACCCGGAAAUACAUAAUCAGGUCCUGGUCCUUGAUAAGGUGGCAGCAAUACGUAGCCCGAAUUUCCCGCGGCCAAUGGUGUUGUUUCAUCCGCCAUAGUUGAAGCACAACUGAUGUCAGUCCAACCAAGUUUGCUCGCAGACUUUGCUCAUAGUGUUAGCACUUGGUGGGUUUCCACUCCUCCUCCUCCAUCAUUUAGCCACACAUGAGAUACUUUCGCCGGCUGAGCUGCCACACAAAGCUGACACAAGCUGUAUAAUGUCUUAUAAUAUCUUAUAACAACAACACCAACAGCAACUGGUACUUAACAUUUCUCUCCAUAAAUUUAUAGAUUAAAGUUUAUUAUUGAACAUCCA